AGCGUAGAGGAGAGGGGUACACUCUCACAGAGCGUAGAGGACAGGGUGUAGGCCCUGGAGCGUUCCCUCAGGAUGGGGGCUCACACGGAGAAGGAGGGUUACGCGCUCGUCCUGUCUCACUGCUGCGUGUGAGUAAAGCUCUGAAGGGCCCCUGGACUGGUCACUCCCUGUGUCCGCCUGCAUCAGCGCAGAGUGACCACUGGCCAGGACUGAGGCCACAGGGCUGAGGAAGGAGUGUUCAUCCUCCCCUCCUCUUAAUCAGAGCUGUAGACUCACUGCUUCAUCAUCACCCUCCUCUUCCUCAGCUGUAGACUCACUGCACACAGACCCAGUCCAGCUGCUUCAUCACCCUCCUCUUCCUCAGAGCUGUAGACUCUUGUCUACUUGUUCCUCCUCAUCUUCCUCAGUGAGGCGGUGCAGACCGGAGUCACUGUGGUGAGUUCAGCUGGGGGCUGUGGGAUGGACACCAGCCUGUCCAUCAGCAGGCGUGUCCAGCCCCAGGACGGGUGCCCGUCCCCCUCCUUCUCCGUUAGACUGGCGAUCGGGUCAGCAGGACACGAUGAAGAAGUAAACACUCCAUUAAUAUGAUAUUGGAAUAAUUCUUUAAUAAUUACAUUGUAUAACACUGGAGGACAGAGAAGAGCUCUUUGACAAUUUCUCGGUACGGACCGCACACCAAUGGGACAGGAGACACAUCGAGAGGGAGGAGAGGUCAUGGAGAGUCUCUCGCGAACAACCACACGCACACGAGUCCGGGGUUGCUCAGCGAUACCGAGAAUCCUGCUGGUCAUAAUUUCAUCUGGGUCAGAAAGAUUCCUACUAAAAUAUUUUUUUUAACACACAGGUGCGGGAUAGCCUGUUAUUAACGAUUCUGUCUCAUCACUAGCGAUGAUGUCAUUCUGCUCAGCGAACGGGACUGGUCCCAGCAGGGGGGGGGCUGCCUGCAGGGGGCGCUGUCUGUGCCCUCACCGCCGCGAUCCAGUGAGCUGAAGGGUUCAGUGCCCGCCCGAGCGCUGGUCUACUGGACCGGGUCACGCCGGAGCGCUGGGUCACCCCGGAGCGCUGGUCUACUGGACUGGGUCACCCCCGGGCGCUGGUCUACUGGACUGGGUCACGCCCGAGCGCUGGGUCACCCCGGAGCGCUGGUCUACUGGCCCGGGUCACGCCCGAGCGCUGGUCUACUGGCCCGGGUCACGCCCGAGCGCUGGUGUCCUGGCCCGGGUCACCCCGGAGCGCUGGUCUACUGGACUGGGUCACCCCGGAGCGCUGGUCUACUGGCCCGGGUCACGCCCGGGCGCUGGUGUCCUGGCCCGGGUCACCCCGGAGCGCUGGUCUACUGGACUGGGUCACGCCCGGGCGCUGGUGUCCUGGAGCGGGUCGGGCGCUGGUGUCCAGCAGGCCAGGACCAGGCCGCGCCCCCUGUCCGUCCGUCCAGCUCUGCUCUCUGGCUGCAGGCGGCCCGCGCUGUACACUGGAUCUUUCUGUAAUAAACUGGAGCUCUAUAUUCCUACUGGUGCUGCUCCUGUCCUCUGUUGGGGGGGACUGAGAGUGAGGUCUGGCAGCGCCCAGUGGGUUGAGCUGCUCUGUGUAUGUUGAGGUGCUCAGUGUGUAGUAGAUCCAGUGUGUUGAGGCACUCAGUGUGUCCAGUGUGCGUCAGCUCAGUAUGUCCGGUGUGUUGGGGUGCUCAGUGUGUCCAGUGUGCGUCAAGCUCAGUAUGUCCGGUGUGUUGGGGUGCUCAGUGUGUCCAGUGUGCGUUAAGCUCAGUGUGUUGGAGUGCUCAGUGUGUGUUGGGGUGCUUAAUGUGUCCAGUGUGCGUUAAGCUCAGUAUGGCCGGUGUGUUGGGGUGCUCAGUGUGUCCAGUGUAGUUUCAGACCAGACACCCAGUCUGUGAUGUAAGACUAAACCACACCCACUUCUCCACAACCAGCCAACAGCAACACAGACUUUAUUAAGGAGCUGAGCUGAACACACCCCCGCAGAGGACAGGUCCGAAGCACAGAGUCCGGGAUUCCUGUGGCACCAUCGUCCGUCUGGGCCAAGCCCGUCCGGUCCGGUCCGGUCCGGCGCCGCCUCCAGACCGGCCACCUGUCGGGACAACCGGAGCAGAACCAGUUAAAACAACAGCUCAGAACUGGACCAGUGCUCAGUCGGGGUUAAAGGUCACUAUGGCUCUGGGCUCAUGAGGACAGUAACUGGCUCAGCUCAGUCUUAGAGACCCCAGUCUUUCAGGGGCUUGGGGGUCUUCAGUCAGGGGUUAAAGGUCACUGUGGCUCUGGUCUCAGCUCAGUCCCUGAGACCCCAGUCUUUCAGGGUCCGGGGGUCUUCAGUCAGGGGUUAAAGGUCACUGUGGCUCUGGGCUCAGCUCAGUCCCUGAGACCCCAGUCCGUCAGGGUCCGGGGGUCUUCAGUCGGGGGUUAAAGGUCACUGUG
ensembl:lincRNA